GACGAACUGCCCAAACGUUGUUCGGAAUCACUGGGCUUAAAGGGCGCGUAGGCGGCAACACAAGUCAGGGGUGAAAUCCGGCAGCUUAACUGUCGAAGUGCCUUUGAUACUGAGUUGCUCGAGGAAGGUAGGGGUCUGUGGAACUUCCGGUGGAGCGGUGAAAUGCGUUGAUAUCGGAAGGAACGCCGGUGGCGAAAGCGACGGACUGGACCUUUUCUGACGCUGAGGCGCGAAAGCUAGGGGAGCAAACGGG
rnacentral:rRNA from 1 species